rnacentral:lncRNA from 1 species
CCCCAGAGCUCUGAUUCCUCAGAUGCACCUCUUGUUCAUUACAUCAAGACUGGUUUCUCGUGAGUUCUUGGGGGUUGCGUCGUCUCGAGAUUUGGGUGGGGGCCUUCCCCACCCCGGUGGUCUUUCACAGACAACACAGGAGGUUGCUCCAAAGAGCUUUUCUAAUCAGGUUCUCUUCCCCUCCCUGCUCCUUAUCCUUUCUUUUCCCCUACCUCUGCUGUGUGGUGGGUUACAAGGGAGGCUAAAUUGUUUAAGGACCAUCGUUAAAAAUACGAUUGGAAAAAAAAUUAAAGUUACCCACACAUACAAUUUUAAAAACAAAUCAUUUUAAAAAGAAAGUUGGGGGCGGGGAGUAGGCACAUGCCUUAAUCCCAAUGCUCGGGAGGCAGAGGGAGGAGGAUCUCAAUGACUUUUUUCUCUUUUCUUUUUUUCUUUUUUUCCGGAGCUGGGGACCGAACCCAGGGCCUUGCGCUUGCUAGGCAAGCGCUCUACCACUGAGCUAAAUUCCCAACCCCUCGAUGAAUACUUUUUAACAUGUGGCUCCUGUUUCUUACCGUAGAGAACGUCUCCACCCACUGGCUAACAGGACCUCUAUGUGAAGUGCCUUUCUCAGCAGUGUGAGCUGAGAUGCUCUUGUGUAGCUGUUGGAAAGGGCCCAGAGAGAAACUUUGGAAGGAGAACAGCAACGCUGUCCUCAGAUCACAGCAACCUCCAGAACUUAUGUGGUCCACAGCACAACUCUAAGAAGAGCUGUACUUCCAGGUUUUGCAGAAGCAUUACUGACUAAACAGACGGACACAGGUAGCUGUUUCCCACACCGUUCUGCAACUGUUGAGGUCCGUGUCAGCCGCUCCCUCUGGACAGACUUCCCUCCUCACAAACCUUGUCUUCCCAGGCCAUGACAUGCAUAAUGCAUUGAGAACUCCUUUCCAGUCUCCAUUCCAGUUCCUAGGAGUGAGAUCAGGUGACCCCACACAUGUACAGCCAUUGUUCUCUCACCCCACCACUGUCUUGGCCUCCUCUCUUCACCAAUCUCCCCAGAGAGCCUUUCUUUGGAGACUGGGGGCCUCUUUGCCUCAGGCACUAGUUCUCCCUCCCAGAGCACGCUUCACUAAGUUCACAAAGUUGCAAUCGAUGAGAAGCAAGCCAGUAAGCAGUGCUCUUCCGUGGCUUCUGCUUCAGUUCCUAUCUCCAUGUUCCUGCCCUGACUCGCCUCAGUGAUGGACUGUUAUCUGAAAGUGUAAUAAACCAUUUCUUCCACUUUUAAGCU